rnacentral:rRNA from 1 species
GACGAACCGUGCGAACGUUGUUCGGAAUCACUGGGCUUAAAGGGCGCGUAGGCGGCCUGGCAAGUGGAAGGUGAAAUCCCUCGGCUUAACCGAGGAACUGCCCUCCAAACUGCUUGGCUUGAGUCCGGGAGAGGUGAGUGGAAUUCCCAGUGUAGCGGUGAAAUGCGUAGAUAUUGGGAGGAACACCAGUGGCGAAGGCGGCUCACUGGACCGGAACUGACGCUGAGGCGCGAAAGCGUGGGGAGCAAACGGG